UUUAAAUUAAAUUUAUUGGGGUGAAAAUGCUUAAUAAGAUUACAUAUGUUUCAAGUAGAAUAGUAUACUA